CUACUGCCUCCUUAGAGCCCUUGAAACACAAGGGUCUGGAGGCAUGUGCUAUACCGUACAACUAUCCCAGCGGCGUCCUCUAAAGAGAGGAAGCGCUAGGAAUGCAUGGGGCUAAUAACAUGUAGGACCACAUCUCUCAAAAAACCUAGGACUGUGUCUGUGUUAAAAAGCGGUUCUGGGCCGAGGAACAUUACUGGAUGGAGAGGGAUGUGCUGUGUGUAAGCUAAGGAAAAAUGUUUCAUUCUUUCAGAUUCGGCUUCGCGACACUCCAGAAGGACGUGGAGCACGGUCAGCCUCUCCCCGCAUCUACCACAGGUUGGAGGCUCACUUCCGGAAUCUGUUGUCCACACAUUUGUAAGCAAGGAUCCGGAACUAGGCCUCUCUUCCUUGUAAACAGCACACAAGAACUUUUUUGAGGAUUGAUUUUAAAACCAUUUUUCUCUGCCCACCCUGACACCUUGUUCAAGCCAUGCUGUACCUGUCUCUCGCAUACUGCGAGGUUACAGGAUUUGAAGCCUAUUUGAAUGUCGUCCACAUAGACGGAAUACAAGAUGGCUGGUGGUAAGGACGCACGAAGCGUUGUCAUUUUAACAAUAAAAAGUGUGCAACUGA
rnacentral:lncRNA from 1 species